AUAGAGGAAGCGUCUGGAGAAUAAGCCCCCGACUGCCCCCGCUCCCAGUGCUGGUGUGCCCUUCAGAACCUCAUCCACCCCGGCUCACAUCCAGAUGAGUGGCGUGCCCUGGUAACCGUGAAGACACGGAGCCUGGGAGACUGACCUGGCCCUGGGCGGAAGUGCUGGAUGAAGAAGACGACGUCGAAGACGAUGGAGAAGACCCCGAGUCCAAACUUGGUUGGGUCUCCGAAGAUCAGCGUCCACUGGUCUGUUAGCAGCCGGGGGACAGAAGCUGGUGUUAGGUUGGCAGCUCCUGAGGCAGCUGGAGCAUGUGGGGUGGUGGGCGGUGGGGGUCCCAGAAGACCACAAACCCUCCAGCUAUGAAGGCCCCUAGGUGGGUCUCUCCUUGGGGGCUGGAUUGGCUUGGAUCCCAGGUGGGGGUGGAGCCCUGGCUGGAAGGUCCGGGAAGGCUGGCCCCGCCCGAUGCCCCAGCCGCAGGGUGGCCAGCAGCCCGCUGGCUGACUCACCGUUGUUGUAGGACUGGAGAAACAUCUGCAGGAGGCUGAAGCUGCCCCCGGUGAAGUCCAGGAGCACGUUGCCAAUGCUCCAGCCCUCAGUGCUUUUGUAGUAAAAGUUCAUGUAGGCCUGGGCCAGACAGACGGACAGACAGACGGAGGGCGGUGAGGGCUGGGCGGCUGCCUCACGCGCCUCGUGACUGCCCCUCCAAACAAAAGCGGUUCUCAUUCCUCCCACUGGGGCCUUGGCUCCAAGGAACACGGUGACCUUUGGGCUAUGACAGGCCUCAGCCAAGGAACAGUUUGGGUGGUCCUGGGGGUAGGCGUCUCAUCUGCAUGUACAGCAAGCAAAGGCCCCCUGCCCCCCACACCUCACAGCUCCAGCAGAGGCGGGGCCGAUGCGGCCUUCCCCGUCUCCUCCACAUCCCUGGGGCCAAGGCCCUGUGCUACUUUCCCUGUAGCUAUGAUUCUUCUUCUCACCUCCAGGCAAGGCUGUCCCCAAACUCAGCCUGGACUUGAUGUGCUUAGGGACUGGUGGGAGUGGGACUUCUGGUUUGGAAUCCUGGCUCCAUCACCGGAGCCUGCUGUCUUGGGCAAGUGACAGUUCUCCUAGCCUUGGUUUCCCCGUCUGUAGAGCGGGGUUAACGCCCCACACAGGCCUGGCCGGGGCUUCCUGGGUCUGGGGGGGGCGGGUCUGCGGGGAUGCGCCCCAGUCUGACUGCCUGUGCCCCACGUCCUCCCAUGCUGCAGAGCCCUGUGGGUCCUCUGACUGCUGUGACCUUUCCUUCCCCCCGUGAGGGAGGUCCUGGCCUCUCUGGUGGCCUCCCAGUGAGCCUCUAGUCAGUCCCUGUCUGUGUCCCGGCUCACCCUCUUCCGUACUUGCUGCUGCCCCUCCAGCAGUUCCAAACGUCUCCAACCUGGGCUUCUGCAUCCCCGGUUUCUUGGCCCCAAGCCCUCCCACCCUCAGGGUCUGGGGCCCACUUCCCCAAACCUUCCCCUCCUCGGAAUCCCCCCCCAGCUCCCGGGACCUGACCCCAGCUUCCCAGCUUCAACAUGCUCAACACUGUUCAACCAGCCGCGUCCCCUCACUGCCUCCCUGUGUCCCGCCCCAGCCUCUGUUCAGGCUGGCCUGGCCCGGAACGCCCGGGCUCCUUGGCCACAGAACUUCGUCCUGCUCAGCCUAAGAGUCCAGUCCUGCCUCCCAGUCAGAACGCUGGCCCUCCUGAGCUCACAGAACACAAGGCUCCCAGGGCUGGGGACACUGGAACAAGGCUUCUCCCUUUGGGAAUGGGGACGGGCUGAGCUCUGCGCAGGAAGGGGCUCCCUCCUCCCACCUCACCUCUCCAGAGUGUCCUGCUGUGGAAAUGGAGGCAGUGGUGAGGGCAGAGCCAAAGGCAUCAGGAAAGGCUGGGGUGUGGAGAAGGGGAACCACCCGCACACCUGAUGCUUAGGGGAGCGUGGGGUCCAAGGGGCUUCCGCUAGCGAUCUCCUGUGAUUCCAGCCCGGGGGAAGAGCGGCAGGCUGGCCUCCCCACCGCCCCGCUCCCGCUGGGCUCCCGGGCUCCCUGUGGCUUUCCGUCCUGUUUCCUCACCCCGGCAGGAGCUGCCCCACCGGAGCAGGGCCUGGGCCAUGUAGCUCUCACCUCUCCUGCCACCGGCCAUGUGAACAGGGCCCCGGAAGUACCUGUGGAAAAUACUUGACCAGCGUGACUGCGAGCUUGAUGUAGGAGAAGCAGAAGAGAAACUGCAGCCACGUGGUCACUCCCACUGCAGCCACGAUCAUGGUGACAAAUGCGAAGAGCCACGCGAGCACCAGGAAGCCGAUGGCAGGCCAGGACACGCGCUGGCCACCGCGCUGGGGGCGAGAGGAGGGCAGAGAUGUGGACCCACACAGAGGCCACGCCGGGGCUGAGCACGGACGGCCCCGGAUAGGGCGGGCUUAGAGAGGGGCACGGAGGCUGGACCCUGGCCUUGAAGGAGCCCCUGCAAGGGCCUCCUGUUCAGGCUGCUUGGACUCUCAAGCUCCGUCUGCUUUGUUCCUACUUGGCAGAACUGGGCGCCUCUCAGCACUCACUUGGGAGACGUGGGCUCCGAACUCUGGUGGCCUGGUGCCUCUCCCAGCCAGGUACUGACUCGUCCCACGACCCGGCGGCAGCCUGAGGAUCUCAGGAAUCUGUCCCCUCGCCUUGCCUUUCCCUGAACACGGGCGCAAUGUGGGCCACCUUCACUCUCGCUUCACACCAAAAGCUAAGAAAGCCUAGAAGGUUCAUACGGGUGGGGCCAGACAGCCCCCGGCUGGCCUUACAGUGUGAAGGGAACUCCCUGAGAGAAGGGAAAGCAAAGCUGUCCUAUCAGGGGUCCCCGGACCCAGCCGUGGUGGGGCCCUGCCCUGCCGACACCCAUGGCUUCCAGCAACAAAGCUGAAUACAGGUGCCUCCACCUGCAUGCGGGCCCCCUCCUGACUGCUCAGGAGCCUGCCCCUCCUGGCACCCUGAAGCCCAGCUGCACCCGCCUGCUCAGGGUCCCUCUCAAAUGCCCCUUGGCCUCUGUGACCUGACCCCUCCAGGAGCCCACCCUGGCCCCUCCCCUCCUC